rnacentral:tRNA from 1 species
GGUCCUGUAGUUCAAUGGAUAGAACGGAAGUUUCCUAAACUUUUGAUAGGGGUUCGAUUCCCCUCGGGACUA